CGCUCUUCAACGAGGAAUCCCUAGUAAGCAUGAGUCAUCAGCUCAUGCUGAUUACGUCCCUGCCCUUGUACACACCGCCCGUCGCUACUACCGAUUGAAUGGCUUAGUGAGACCCUCGGAUUGACGUGUAGAAAUCUUCACGGGUAUCUACUUGUUGAGAAGUUGGUCAAACUUGGUCAUUUAGAGGAAGUAAAAGUCGUAACAAGGUUUCCGUAGGUGAACCUGCGGAAGGAUCAUU
rnacentral:rRNA from 1 species